rnacentral:rRNA from 1 species
UCGAGGAUCUUCGGCAAUGGGCGCAAGCCUGACCGAGCGAUGCCGCGUGUGCGAUGAAGGCCUUCGGGUUGUAAAGCACUGUCGAGGGAGAGAAAAGCCCGCAAGGGUUUGAUCGAUCCCUGGAGGAAGCACGGGCUAAGUUCGUGCCAGCAGCCGCGGUAAGACGAACCGUGCAAACGUUGUUCGGAAUCACUGGGCUUAAAGGGCGCGUAGGCGGGUGGAUAAGUCAGGGGUGAAAGCCCACGGCUCAACCGUGGAAGUGCCUUUGAUACUGUUCAUCUCGAGGGAGGUAGGGGCGUGCGGAACUUCCGGUGGAGCGGUGAAAUGCGUAGAUAUCGGAAGGAACACCGGUGGCGAAAGCGGCGCGCUGGACCUCUUCUGACGCUGAGGCGCGAAAGCC